AUUGAACGCUGGCGGCAGGACUAACACAUGCAAGUCGAACGAGUGGCGGACGGGUGAGUAAUGUCUGGGAACCUGCCUGAUGGAGGGGGAUAACUACUGGAAACGGUAGCUAAUACCGCAUACCAUCAGAUGGGCACAGAGUGGAUUAGCUAGUUGUUGGGGAAACGGCUCACCAAGGCGACGAUCCCUAGCUGGUCUGAGAGGAUGACCAGCCAAACUGGAACGGAGACACGGUCCAGCCUCCUACGUGAGGUAGCAGUGGGUAAUAUUGCACAAGGGGCGCAAGCCUGAUGCAGCCAUGCCGCGUGUAUGAAGAAGGCCUUCGGUGUGUAAAGUACUUCAGCGGGGAGGCGUUACCCGCAGAAGAAGCACCGGCUAACUCCGUGCCAGCAGCCGCGGUAAUAC
rnacentral:rRNA from 1 species